AUUGAACGCUGGCGGCAUGCCUUACACAUGCAAGUCGAACGGUAACAGGUCUUCGGAUGCUGACGAGUGGCGAACGGGUGAGUAAUACAUCGGAACGUGCCUAGUAGUGGGGGAUAACUACUCGAAAGAGUGGCUAAUACCGCAUGAGGUCUACGGAUGAAAGCAGGGGAUCGCAAGACCUUGUGCUACUAGAGCGGCCGAUGGCAGAUUAGGUAGUUGGUGGGAUAAAAGCUUACCAAGCCGACGAUCUGUAGCUGGUCUGAGAGGACGAUCAGCCGCACUGGGACUGGGACACGGCCCGGACUCGUACGGGAGGCGGAAGUGGGGAAGUUUGGACAAGGGGCGAAAGCCUGAUCCAGCAAUGCCGCGUGCAGGAUGAAGGCCUUCGGGUUGUAAACUGCUUUUGUACGGGACGAAAAGCCCUGGGUUAAUACCCUGGGGUCAUGACGGUACCGUAAGAAUAAGCACCGGCUAACUACGUGCCAGCAGCCGCCGCCG
rnacentral:rRNA from 1 species